CUGCGAUGCCCCAGACUGGACUGUGGGAGGAGGAGGCUGGCCACAGCAGGAUCAUAGAGCCACGGUCCCAGAGAGGUCUCCUGAGGACUUGAGUUUGGAUCCCUGAACAAGCAUGGGGUGACCCACAACCAAUCACCUAUAACUGCAGCUCCUGGGGAUCUGACACUCUCUUCUGGCUUCAGUUUCUAACCAGCCUGCUUAGAACACUACUCACCUGCCAGCUGGAUGGGAGGCCGUGCUCCUUCAGCUAAAUCCUACUUAGUGCAACUUUAUAUUUCCUAAGCACGGAUAUUAGUAAAUCUUAUCUGGCGUUAAUUGUAUUACUUCGGGCUCCUCCUGCAUCAUUACCAGACUUUUGUCAUCUCAGCCUCAGGUGAACUCUCAGGCAAGGUGUGCUUGAGAGUCCCCCACAGCACAAGUAGCUUGUCCUGAAGACUUUAUGAUGCCCUUGUGCUGGUUUGCUGAAACAAAUAUGGAUGUCAGAAACCCGGCCCCAGCUUCUCACAGCGUUGGGCUAACAACGGGCAUGGAGGCAUGGUCUAAUUGUCCCCAAGCAUCUAAAUACCAACUGAGCCCAGGAUGGCAUUUCAAUGACCUUCAGAC